GGGGCAUGUGCGGCGGCUAACACAUGCAAGUCGAGCGGAUGAAGGGAGCUUGCUCCCGGAUUUAGCGGCGGACGGGUGAGUAAUGCCUAGGAAUCUGCCUGGUAGUGGGGGACAACGACUCGAAAGGGUCGCUAAUACCGCAUACGUCCUACGGGAGAAAGUGGGGGAUCUUCGGACCUCACGCUAUCAGAUGAGCCUAGGUCGGAUUAGCUAGUAGGUGAGGUAAUGGCUCACCUAGGCAACGAUCCGUAACUGGUCUGAGAGGAUGAUCAGUCACACUGGAACUGAGACACGGUCCAGACUCCUACGGGAGGCAGCAGUGGGGAAUAUUGGACAAUGGGCGAAAGCCUGAUCCAGCCAUGCCGCGUGUGUGAAGAAGGUCUUCGGAUUGUAAAGCACUUUAAGUUGGGAGGAAGGGUUGUAGUUUAAUACGCUGCAAUCUUGACGUUACCAACAGAAUAAGCACCGGCUAACUCUGUGCCAGCAGCCGCGGUAAUACAGAGGGUGCAAGCGUUAAUCGGAAUUACUGGGCGUAAAGCGCGCGUAGGCGGCUUGAUAAGAUGGGUGUGAAAUCCCCGGGCUUAACCUGGGAACUGCAUCCAUAACUGUCUGGCUAGAGUACAGUAGAGGGUGGUGGAAUUUCCUGUGUAGCGGUGAAAUGCGUAGAUAUAGGAAGGAACACCAGUGGCGAAGGCGACCACCUGGACUGAUACUGACGCUGAGGUGCGAAAGCGUGGGGAGCAAACAGGAUUAGAUACCCUGGUUGUCCACGCCGUAAACGAUGUCUACUAGCCGUUGGAAUCCUUGAGAUUUUAGUGGCGCAGCUAACGCACUAAGUAGACCGCCUGGGGAGUACGGUCGCAAGAUUAAAACUCAAAUGAAUUUGACGGGGGCCCGCACAAGCGGUGGAGCAUGUGGUUUAUUUCGAGCACGCGAGAUCUUACCUGGUCUUGACAUGCAGAGACUUUCCAGAGAUGGAUUGUGCCUUCGGGACUCUGACC
rnacentral:rRNA from 1 species